CCCACGGAGUUCAGUUCUUAA
rnacentral:miRNA from 8 species